rnacentral:siRNA from 1 species
UUAAUUUUGGAUGUCUGAUA